UCAAACUUUAUAUGAGAGUUUGAUCCUGGCUCAGGACGAACGCUGGCGGCGUGCCUAAUACAUGCAAGUAGGACGCACAGUUUAUACCGUAGCUUGCUACACCAUAGACUGUGAGUUGCGAACGGGUGAGUAACGCGUAGGUAACCUGCCUAUUAGAGGGGGAUAACUAUUGGAAACGAUAGCUAAUACCGCAUAACAGUAUGUAACACAUGUUAGAUGCUUGAAAGAUGCAAUUGCAUCGCUAGUAGAUGGACCUGCGUUGUAUUAGCUAGUAGGUAGGGUAAAGGCCUACCUAGGCCUAUAUAUUUAUUGUUUAUCUCUAACAAUCAUCUCAGCUAUCUUAUUUAUGGCUUAAUUUUCUAGUCAAAAAAUCACCAGCAAACUGAAUAGCAAAGAUAAGUACAAUGAUAAUAACCGUUGCUAAAAUAGUUACAUCGUUAUUAUAGCGAUUGAAGCCAUAAGCAAUCGCAACAUUCCCGAUUCCUCCAGCACCGACAGCACCAGCCAUUGCAGUCUCGCCAACGAGAGAAAUAAGAGUGACUGUUGUCACACGAAUCAAAUCUGGCAAACCUUCUCGCAGAUAAACACCGACAAGAUCACCAAAAGUUGCUCCACUAGCUUGGGCGGCCUCGAUAACACCGCCGUCUAACUCAGCGAGUACAACUUGAACUUGGCGAGCAAAGAAAGCAAAUACUGCAAAAGAAAGAGGUACGAUAGCUGCAUUUGGUCCAAUACUAGUCCCCACAAUCAAGUGUGAAAAAGGUGAAAGAACAGCUAACAAAAUAAUAAAUGGGAUAGCACGGAAGAUAGAUGUGAUUUUGUCUAAAAUCCAAAAAGCUAUUUUAUUUUCCAAGACACCUCCUGGAGCAGUCAAAACAAGAAAAAGCCCUGCAAUUAAGCCUAACAAUCCGCCGAUAAUAAAAGAAAUGACUGUCAUAUACAAUGUCAAGUAAAUAGCUGUUCCCCAGCCAGCUUGACCGCUCCAACCCAUUCGAUAAACAUUCGGCAAGUAUGUUUGAAUAAAAUUUUCCAUCUAUGCUUCUCCCUUCAAUACUGUCAAUUGAACACCAGCUUCACGAAUGGCUGUUUUAGCAGCUGCUAGAUUUUCCUUUUCACCAGAUAAAACAACGACCAGUUCUCCAACAGGCGUUCCACCUAAAAUUUCAAUGUUCCCAUAAAGUAUAUUGGCGGUAACUUGAUGAUGUUUGUAAAUUUCAUUCAGUAAGGGGUCAUCUGUAGAGGUUCCUGCGUACUUCAUUUGCACCAAGAGACUAUUUUUCGCCAAAUGUUUGACAAUUUCUUGUUGCUCAAUCUUGCCCAUAGCUUCAUCAAUUCCUGUUGCGGUAGAGAUAAAGUCUUUGGUUAAAUCUUGCUGAGGAUUAGAGAAAAUAUCCAAAACAGAACCUUCUUCAAUCAGUUGACCAUCUUGCAUAACAGCGACACGAUUAGCGAUGUCUUUAACAAUUUGCAUUUCAUGGGUGAUUAAAACAAUUGUUAAUCCUAGCUUUUGAUUUAAAUCUUGUAAAAGAGCUAAAAUUUGUUUAGUUGUUUUUGGAUCUAAGGCAGAGGUUGA
rnacentral:rRNA from 1 species